GGGACUGUGGGUUAGUGGUAGAGUGCUUGUCUAGCAUUCAAGAAGCCCUGGGUUCAAUUCCUCAGUACCA
rnacentral:tRNA from 1 species